rnacentral:rRNA from 1 species
UACGUAGGGGGCUAGCGUUGUCCGGAAUCAUUGGGCGUAAAGCGCGCGUAGGCGGCCCGGUAAGUCCGCUGUGAAAGUCAAAGGCUCAACCUUUGAAUGUCAGCGGAUACUGCCGGGCUAGAGUCCGGAAGAGGCGAGUGGAACUCCAGGUGUAGCGGUGAAAUGCGUAGAUAUCUGGAGGAACACCGGUGGCGAAGGCGGCAUCCUGGACCGACACUGACACUGAGGAGCGAAAGCCAGGGGAGCAAACGGG